AGAGUUUGAUCCUGGCUCAGGAUGAACGCUAGCGGCAAGCCUAACACAUGCAAGUCGAACGGUAACUUUUGGUGCUUGCACCGAAAGACGAGUGGCGAACGGGUGCGUAACGCGUAUGCAAUCUACCUUUUACUAGGGUAUAGCCCGAAGAAAUUUGGAUUAAUCCCCUAUAAUAUCAUGAAUUCGCAUGAUUUUAUGAUUAAAGCUUCGGCGGUAAAAGAUGAGCAUGCGUCCUAUUAGUUAGUAGGUGAGGUAACGGCUCACCUAGACUACGAUAGGUAGGGGUCCUGAGAGGGAGAUCCCCCACACUGGUACUGAGACACGGACCAGACUCCUACGGGAGGCAGCAGUGAGGAAUAUUGGACAAUGGACGAAAGUCUGAUCCAGCUAUGCCGCGUGCAGGAUGACGGCCCUAUGGGUUGUAAACUGCUUUUAUACAGGAAGAAAAAAUCCGACGUGUCGGAUCUUGACGGUACUGUAAGAAUAAGGAUCGGCUAACUCCGUGCCAGCAGCCGCGGUAAUACGGAGGAUCCAAGCGUUAUCCGGAAUCAUUGGGUUUAAAGGGUCCGCAGGCGGUUUUUUAAGUCAGAGGUGAAAUCCUACAGCUCAACUGUAGAAUUGCCUUUGAUACUGAAAGACUUGAGUUAUUGUGAAGUGGUUAGAAUGUGUGGUGUAGCGGUGAAAUGCAUAGAUAUCACACAGAAUACCAAUUGCGAAGGCAGAUCACUAACAAUAUACUGACGCUCAGGGACGAAAGCGUGGGUAGCGAACAGGAUUAGAUACCCUGGUAGUCCACGCCGUAAACGAUGGAUACUAGCUGUAUGUCUACUUCAGGUAGAUGUGUGGCCAAGCGAAAGUGAUAAGUAUCCCACCUGGGGAGUACGAUCGCAAGAUUGAAACUCAAAGGAAUUGACGGGGGCCCGCACAAGCGGUGGAGCA
rnacentral:rRNA from 1 species